GCAGUGGGAUAGCUCAGUUGGUAAGAGCAUGAGACUCAUAAUCUCAGGGUUGUGGGUCUGAGUCCCAUGUUGGGCA